rnacentral:rRNA from 1 species
CACAUGCAAGUCGAACGGCAGCACGAGAAAGCUUGCUUUCUUGGUGGCGAGUGGCGGACGGGUGAGUAAUGUAUCGGAACGUGCCCAGUAGCGGGGGAUAACUGGCCGAAAGGUCAGCUAAUACCGCAUACGCCCUAAGGGGGAAAGGCGGGGAUCCAUUUAUGGACCUGUCACUAUUGGAGCGGCCGAUAUCGGAUUAGCUAGUUGGUGGGGUAAAGGCCUACCAAGGCUGCGAUCCGUAGCUGGUUUGAGAGGACGACCAGCCACACUGGGACUGAGACACGGCCCAGGCUCCUACGGGAGGCAGCAGUGGGGAAUUUUGGACAAUGGGGGCAACCCUGAUCCAGCCAUCCCGCGUGUGCGAUGAAGGCCUUCGGGUUGUAAAGCACUUUUGGCAGGGAAGAAACAGCUCGGGCUAAUAUUCCGAGUCAAUGACGGUACCUGCAGAAUAAGCACCGGCUAACUACGUGCCAGCAGCCGCGGUAAUACGUAGGGUGCAAGCGUUAAUCGGAAUUACUGGGCGUAAAGCGUGCGCAGGCGGUUUGGCAAGAAAGGUGUGAAAUCCCAGGGCUUAACCUUGGAACUGCACUUUUAACUGCCAGGCUAGAGUACGUCAGAGGGGGGUAGAAUUCCACGUGUAGCAGUGAAAUGCGUAGAUAUGUGGAGGAAUACCGAUGGCGAAGGCAGCCCCCUGGGAUAGUACUGACGCUCAUGCACGAAAGCGUGGGUAGCAAACAGGAUUAGAUACCCUGGUAGUCCACGCCCUAAACGAUGUCAACU